rnacentral:rRNA from 1 species
UACGAAGGGAGCUAGCGUUGUUCGGAAUCACUGGGCGUAAAGCGUGCGUAGGCGGCUUUGCAAGUCAGGGGUGAAAUCCCAUAGCUUAACUAUGGAACUGCCUUUGAAACUGCAAAGCUAGAAUGUGAGAGGGGAUGGCGGAAUUCCUAAUGUAGAGGUGAAAUUCGUAGAUAUUCGGAAGAACACCAGUGGCGAAGGCGGCUCACUGGACCGGCAUUGACGCUGAGGUGCGAAAGCGUGGGGAGCAAACAGG